UACGUAGGGGGCAAGCGUUGUCCGGAUUUAUUGGGCGUAAAGAGCGUGUAGGCGGCUUUACAGGUCCGUUGUGAAAACUCGAGGCUCAACCUCGAGACGCCGGUGGAAACCGUAAGGCUAGAGUCCGGAAGAGGAGAGUGGAAUUCCUGGUGUAGCGGUGAAAUGCGUAGAUAUCUGGAGGAACACCGGUGGCGAAGGCGGCAUCCUGGACCAUAUUGACGCUGAGGAGCGAAAGCCAGGGGAGCAAACGGG
rnacentral:rRNA from 1 species